GACGAACGCUGGCGGCGUGCUUAACACAUGCAAGUCGAACGGAAAGGCCCUGCUUUUGUGGGGUGCUCGAGUGGCGAACGGGUGAGUAACACGUGAGUAACCUGCCCUUGACUUUGGGAUAACUUCAGGAAACUGGGGCUAAUACCGGAUAGGAGCUCCUGCUGCAUCGUGGGGGUUGGAAAGUUUCGGCGGUUGGGGAUGGACUCGCGGCUUAUCAGCUUGUUGGUGGGGUAGUGGCUUACCAAGGCUUUGACGGGUAGCCGGCCUGAGAGGGUGACCGGCCACAUUGGGACUGAGAUACGGCCCAGACUCCUACGGGAGGCAGCAGUGGGGAAUAUUGCACAAUGGGCGGAAGCCUGAUGCAGCAACGCCGCGUGCGGGAUGACGGCCUUCGGGUUGUAAACCGCUAUCGCCUGUGACGAAGCGUGAGUGACGGUAAUGGGUAAAGAAGCACCGGCUAACUACGUG
rnacentral:rRNA from 1 species